AGUGGUUUAGCUCAGUGAUAGAACACUUGCCUAGCAUGCAUGAGGCCCUAGGUUCAAUCCCUAGUGUCACCA
rnacentral:tRNA from 1 species